rnacentral:rRNA from 1 species
AGCGGCAGGCCUAACACAUGCAAGUCGAGGGGUAACAGGGAGCUUGCUCCGCUGACGACCGGCGCACGGGUGCGCAACGCGUAUACAAUCUACCUUAUGCUGGGGGAUAGCCCAGAGAAAUUUGGAUUAAGACCUCAUGGUAUCGGAAGACGGCAUCGUUUUCUGAUUAAAGGUUACGGCAUAAGAUGAGUAUGCGUCCCAUUAGCUAGUUGGUGUGGUAACGGCACACCAAGGCAACGAUGGGUAGGGGUCCUGAGAGGGAGAUCCCCCACACUGGUACUGAGACACGGACCAGACUCCUACGGGAGGCAGCAGUGAGGAAUAUUGGACAAUGGACGAAAGUCUGAUCCAGCCAUGCCGCGUGCAGGAAGACGGUCCUAUGGAUUGUAAACUGCUUUUAUACGGGAAGAAUAAGGACUACGUGUAGUCCGGUGACGGUACCGUAAGAAUAAGGAUCGGCUAACUCCGUGCCAGCAGCCGCGGUAAUACGGAGGAUCCAAGCGUUAUCCGGAAUCAUUGGGUUUAAAGGGUCCGUAGGCGGACUAUUAAGUCAGGGGUGAAAGUCUGCAGCUCAACUGUAGAAUUGCCUUUGAUACUGGUAGUCUUGAGUUAUGGUGAAGUGGCUAGAAUAUGUAGUGUAGCGGUGAAAUGCAUAGAUAUUACAUAGAAUACCGAUUGCGAAGGCAGGUCACUAACCAUACACUGACGCUGAUGGACGAAAGCGUGGGGAGCGAACAGGAUUAGAUACCCUGGUAGUCCACGCCGUAAACGAUGGAUACUAG